rnacentral:rRNA from 1 species
UACGUAGGCAGCAAGCGUUGUUCGGAGUUACUGGGCGUAAAGGGUGCGUAGGCGGUUGUUUAAGUUUGGUGUGAAAUCUCCCGGCUCAACUGGGAGGGUGCGCCGAAUACUGAAUGACUAGAGUGCGGGAGAGGAGAGUGGAAUUCCUGGUGUAGCGGUGAAAUGCGUAGAUAUCAUUUGGAACGCCAAUGGUGAAAACAGGUAGCUGGGAGUGUGCUGACGCUGAGACACGAAAGCCAGGGGAGCGAACGGG